rnacentral:rRNA from 1 species
CGGAACGUGCCCAGUAGCGGGGGAUAACUACGCGAAAGCGUAGCUAAUACCGCAUACGUCCUACGGGAGAAAGCGGGGGACCUUCGGGCCUCGCACUAUUGGAGCGGCCGAUAUCGGAUUAGCUAGUUGGUGGGGUAAAGGCUCACCAAGGCGACGAUCCGUAGCUGGUUUGAGAGGACGACCAGCCACACUGGGACUGAGACACGGCCCAGACUCCUACGGGAGGCAGCAGUGGGGAAUUUUGGACAAUGGGGGCAACCCUGAUCCAGCCAUCCCGCGUGUGCGAUGAAGGCCUUCGGGUUGUAAAGCACUUUUGGCAGGAAAGAAACGGUUCCGGAUAAUACCUGGAGCAACUGACGGUACCUGCAGAAUAAGCACCGGCUAACUACGUGCCAGCAGCCGCGGUAAUACGUAGGGUGCAAGCGUUAAUCGGAAUUACUGGGCGUAAAGCGUGCGCAGGCGGUUCGGAAAGAAAGAUGUGAAAUCCCAGAGCUUAACUUUGGAACUGCAUUUUUAACUACCGAGCUAGAGUGUGUCAGAGGGAGGUGGAAUUCCGCGU